rnacentral:rRNA from 1 species
UCACUAGUGAUUAGAGUUUGAUCCUGGCUCAGAUUGAACGCUGGCGGCAUGCCUUACACAUGCAAGUCGAACGGCAGCACGGGAGCAAUCCUGGUGGCGAGUGGCGAACGGGUGAGUAAUAUAUCGGAACGUGCCCAGUCGUGGGGGAUAACGUAGCGAAAGCUACGCUAAUACCGCAUACGAUCCACGGAUGAAAGCGGGGGAUCGCAAGACCUCGCGCGAUUGGAGCGGCCGAUACCUGAUUAGCUAGUUGGUGGGGUAAAGGCCCACCAAGGCGACGAUCAGUAGCUGGUCUGAGAGGACGACCAGCCACACUGGAACUGAGACACGGUCCAGACUCCUACGGGAGGCAGCAGUGGGGAAUUUUGGACAAUGGGCGCAAGCCUGAUCCAGCCAUUCCGCGUGAGUGA